rnacentral:rRNA from 1 species
UACAGAGGUCUCAAGCGUUGUCCGGAAUCAUUGGGCGUAAAGCGCGCGUAGGCGGCCCGGUAAGUCCGUUGUGAAAGUCAAAGGCUCAACCUUUGAACGCCGAUGGAUACUGCCGGGCUAGAGUCCGGAAGAGGCGAGUGGAAUUCCUGGUGUAGCGGUGAAAUGCGCAGAUAUCGGGAGGAACACCGGUGGCGAAGGCGGCGAUCUGGGUAGAUACUGACGCUGAGGUGCGAAAGCGUGGGGAGCAAACAGG